rnacentral:rRNA from 1 species
UGGCUCAGGACGAACGCUGGCGGCGUGCCUAAUACAUGCAAGUCGAGCGGACAGAUGGGAGCUUGCUCCCUGAUGUUAGCGGCGGACGGGUGAGUAACACGUGGGUAACCUGCCUGUAAGACUGGGAUAACUCCGGGAAACCGGGGCUAAUACCGGAUGGUUGUUUGAACCGCAUGGUUCAAACAUAAAAGGUGGCUUCGGCUACCACUUACAGAUGGACCCGCGGCGCAUUAGCUAGUUGGUGAGGUAACGGCUCACCAAGGCAACGAUGCGUAGCCGACCUGAGAGGGUGAUCGGCCACACUGGGACUGAGACACGGCCCAGACUCCUACGGGAGGCAGCAGUAGGGAAUCUUCCGCAAUGGACGAAAGUCUGACGGAGCAACGCCGCGUGAGUGAUGAAGGUUUUCGGAUCGUAAAGCUCUGUUGUUAGGGAAGAACAAGUACCGUUCGAAUAGGGCGGUACCUUGACGGUACCUAACCAGAAAGCCACGGCUAACUACGUGCCAGCAGCCGCGGUAAUACGUAGGUGGCAAGCGUUGUCCGGAAUUAUUGGGCGUAAAGGGCUCGCAGGCGGUUUCUUAAGUCUGAUGUGAAAGCCCCCGGCUCAACCGGGGAGGGUCAUUGGAAACUGGGGAACUUGAGUGCAGAAGAGGAGAGUGGAAUUCCACGUGUAGCGGUGAAAUGCGUAGAGAUGUGGAGGAACACCAGUGGCGAAGGCGACUCUCUGGUCUGUAACUGACGCUGAGAG